UACAUGGGGUGCAAACGUUGCUCGGAAUUAUUGGGCGUAAAGCGCACGUAGGUGGUCUGUUAUGUCAGAUGUGAAAGCCCUCGGCUUAACUGAGGAAGUGCACCUGAAACUGGCAGGCUUGAGUACGAAAGAGGGUCGCGGAAUUCCCGGUGUAGAGGUGAAAUUCGUAGAUAUCGGGAGGAACACCGGUGGCGAAGGCAGCUCGCUGGGACGUGACUGACGCUGAGACGCGAAAGCGUGGGGAG
rnacentral:rRNA from 1 species